rnacentral:rRNA from 1 species
UACGUAGGGUGCAAGCGUUAAUCGGAAUUACUGGGCGUAAAGCGUGCGCAGGCGGUUGUGUGAGACAGAUGUGAAAUCCCCGGGCUUAACCUGGGAAUGGCAUUUGGGACUGCAAGGCUCGAGUGCGGCAGAGGAGACUGGAAUUCCUGGUGUAGCAGUGAAAUGCGUAGAUAUCAGGAGGAACACCGAUGGCGAAGGCAGGUCUCUGGGCUGACACUGACGCUCAUGCACGAAAGCGUGGGGAGCAAACAGG